CCAGAGUUCCAGGAGCAUGAGGGUACGCCUACUGUGUAAUGAAGGUGAAUUAUGACCAUCGGGGUUCACACCUCAGCUCGACUGGAGACUGGAGACCAGCCUGCAAUUCCACACACAAGUGGAGAAAGCAGCAAGAUUAUGUCAUAUGGUGAAAACAUUUGUUACAAGUAUACCCAUCAUCAAUAUUUUCCUGGCCAAGGGUCAUUUGGCUAUCAGACUAAAUAUACUUUAUGCUUAAGUGAUGCAAUUAUGAAUUCUGUGAAUGCUACACUUUUGAUGGAUCAACAUUUCCUUGAGAGU
rnacentral:lncRNA from 1 species